rnacentral:rRNA from 1 species
UACGGGGGGGACCGGCGUUAUUCGUAAGAAUUUGGCGUAAAGGGUACGUAGACUUGCUUGAGAACACUCUGUUGAAAAGCCACAUCCUGGAAUGUGGAAUAGACAUUGUAACCUCGAGGAUAGAGUGGUGGCCGCGUUACCGGUAUUUUCGGUGUAGAUCGGGGUUAAAUCCUACCAUACUGAGAGGAAUGCCUAAGGUGAAGACGGGUUUCUGGGCUGCCACUGACGUUCAGGUACGGAGGUGUGAGUAUCAAACGGG